rnacentral:misc_RNA from 1 species
CUGCGAGUUCGCGGGAGAGUAAGUUGUUGCCAGGGUUUUUGUUUUAUACUUUAAACAUUGAUUUUAUUUUUUAUGUUUUUAGAUGUUCAUGUUUUUGAAUGUUUUAUUCAAAUAAUAUAAAAAAUAAAAUAUAUAUUGACAUGGAUUAAACAAAGAUAUAUAUUAUUCUAUGUUGUAUAAACAAAUUGGCAAAAUAGAGAUGGAAGAUAAAAAUAUGGUCAAAGUAAUAAGAUUCUAUGGUAAAUGCCUAGGA